GUAAUCCAGUGUCCCAUAAGCUUGAUUCGAUUUUCUGGCAGCUACCAAGAAGAGCAAAUGCACGAUUCACAAGUUUCGUUUCGCCAUUUUCAAGCAAUCCCACGUGACCUCCUUUGGAUCAGUGAAAAGUGAAAAUUACUCGCGUCAUGAACAUAUAUGUUCAUCUCAGCGCAAAUCACGUUUCGCAUGCUAUAGAAGGAGGGGGGAUCAAUACUCUUCCUUUCGUGUUUUGAUAUCUUGUUGUUUUGCUACUCUCACUUCGGAGUUCGGAUGGUGUCUAGCAACGUUGGGUACCUCGUUUCUUGUGUGUGUGAGCGAGUGGUUGCUGUUUACGAUGUGUUCAUAUAUCGCUUUGUAGUGCUGUAAUGUGCAAAUUAGCGGACUUUAUAGCGGCUCUCUAUUUUCCGUCGUUGUCUUUCGAGCAGCGCCUGUUGUUCCGGUAAAAAUCGAGUUGAAUGAAUCGCCACAGCCCCAACGUAUAUCGCGCAGUGUUGACCAAGACCAAGUCAAGCAGGAAUUCUGGCAUGGUAUGUGGCUGCACGAAGGAUUCCGGAAAAGAAAAACAACAACAUGGCUAAUAGGAUGUUGCUGCCCAGGGAGUCCUGGCGAAGAGGUUUACUCAUUCCAGAAGCAAGAAUUGUAUCAUUGUAAGGCGAAUGGAAAUAAACUGACAUCGACUGAGA